UGGGAGAUCGUCUAAUGGUAGGACUUCGCCCUCUGAAGGCGGAUAUCUUGGUUCGAGUCCAAGUCUCCCAG
rnacentral:tRNA from 1 species